UGGGUGGAGGACUGGUGGUUAGGCCAUGGCACUCUCACUGCCGCAGCCCGGGUUCGAUUCCUUGCCAGGGAA